AGAUCAGUAUCUGUCAGUCUGACAGCUGAUUGGCUGCUCGGAGAUGCAUAUAAUUACCAGCAACUGGCGCUGGGUAGGCAAAGCCCGGAGAAACUGCUGAGAUGAGAUUUGUCUCAUGAACCAUGGGGCUGCUUGAGUUUCCUUCCAAGAUGGCAGCUGCCUUCUGCCAGACUACACAGUGUGAAACAGCCUCUCAUGACCUUGGAGAGCACAGCAGUCAUUCCCUUCCGUCCCAUGCCGCAACCAGCCCGUACUCCUUGUGAAAGGAGACAACACAGCCUGCAAAUGCCCGAAGGUGGAAAUCAUUUGGAGACCAUCUUGGAGGUUGGUGACCAUGGCAACCAUCACUUCAGCCCAAAGAGAGAGUUUGUUCUCCACCAGGUAUGUUCGUGCUUGUGGGCUGUGUGUGACUGCCCAGCCACACCACACACAAAGCUCUGUUCCUUCGUCGCCUCUCCCCACAGCCAGUCCCCACCUGCCGGCUUCCGUCAUUCCAAGUCAGAUUGGGCUCCCGGUUUCCCAAGUGUCAUGUAAGCCUAAAUCUGGGUUCUGGAUGUGGCAACUCAGUGUGUGUUGGGAGGAUCACACAGCCUAGAGGGUGGUGUGAAGGUGGGAGCCUGGGGACAGAGGCUGCUGAGCCAUAGGAGCCCAGAGGGGUGUGUGUGUGUGAUGUUCAGAAUGCAUGUGUGUGAUAGCGUGUGAUGCUGCCUGUUCUCAUGUGCAUUGUGUUUUGAGUGUGCACCGUGGCCUACGAGCACGUAGAUGUAGGGGCUCCGAUCACGUUCGAGUGAGCCCUUCCGUCAGAGUGGUGUGUGAGCACGCAGUGCGCGAUUCUGUGUUGUUACUGUCUCUUGACCAUCCUGGCAGGCUGUGAGCGUGCUCUGUGUGCUUCUGUGUGUGAACAGAGCUCGGUUUGGAUCAUGGCCACGUGCAUGUCAGAAUGUUGUGCAUCUGUGUCAGUGUAGCACACGGCUCAGGUUGUGGACGUGGUGGAAGCUGAGAAUGCGUCUCCCUGUCCCUGCUCCUUGGCUUCAGACUCGCCGGGGGAAAGCCUAGCAGAGCUGGGGGACCACAGCUGAGCCACACAGGGAAGCACAGAUCCUGUGGAGGAGCUGGGCCGGCCGGCCGUCUGCUGGGGAAUUCUGUGCUGGGUUCUCCCUCCCAGCCAUCCAGGUACCCCUCCCCUGGGUGACCUGGACUGCCAGGACCAGGCUUGGGGAAGACCCUUGGCACGCCCCUGGGCUGUGUGGGUGCCGCACCUCUAUAAGCUCACAAAAUCACAAAUCCCAUCCAGAACGUAAGGUCUUGUGCCUGGCGCUGGUCUGUCCUUCAUGCCUGCGUCAUGGCUCACUGCAUAGUUCCACUGAGAGCCAGAGUACAGACAUGGCCUUGCCCAAAAGCUCAAGGUCAGCCUUAGCUACACAGAGUUCAAGACCAGCCUGGACUGCAGCAGACCUGUCUCAAAACAGAAACAAGCCAAGAGGUUGGCAAGAUAGCUCAACAGAUAAAAGCUUUGCUGAGCAAAUCUGGCAGCCCGAGUUCAACCCCUGGAGCCUAAGGAAAGGUGAAAGGACAAAACUAACUCCAGAGAGGUGUCCUCUGACCUGCACAGGCACACGGAGGCCGGUGUGCACAAUGCCCUACACACACACACACACACACACACACACACACUUUUCAAAACUUAAACCUAAACCAGCCAGGAGGUAUCACUUCCCACGUGUCAAGAUGGCCAUAGUCGAGAGAAAGAGAAUAACAAGUGUUGGCGAGGAUGUGAAGAGGGUACAUUGAAUCAAUGGUUCAGUCACUAUGGAAACAAGAUGAAGCAGUGACCCGAUGGUGCAGUUGCUAUGGAAACAGGAUUCUGGCUCCCCCAAAAGAAAUAAAAGAAAAGAACUACUGUA